CCAGGCUCAGCUAGGGAGAGGGGUACUUGGGUGGAGCCAUUGUCUCAUAUCUGCUUCCUUUCCCCUCUCCCAAGAUGGAGAAGGAGGUGUCAGAUUUCAUUCAAGACAGUGGGCAGAUCAAGAAAAAGUUUCAGCCGAUGAACAAGAUCGAGAGGAGCAUACUACAUGAUGUGGUGGAAGUGGCUGGCCUGACAUCCUUCUCCUUUGGGGAAGAUGAUGACUGUCGCUAUGUCAUGAUCUUCAAAAAGGUAAAGGGCCUGAAUUCCUCAUUCUCUCCUCUCCCCUUUGUAGCCUUAUCCCCCCUCCCCGACCAAGGAAUGAAAUGAAACAUUUGUAUGGACUCUGACCCCAUCAUUCUGCUCUUCUCCAGGAGUUUGCACCCUCAGAUGAAGAGCUAGACUCCUACCGUCGUGGAGAGGAAUGGGACCCCCAGAAGGCUGAGGAGAAGCGGAAGCUGAAGGUGAGCUAUGCUUUGCAGCCCUUGGGGCCCAGAAGCCC
rnacentral:sRNA from 1 species